UGCCAGCCGCCGCGGUAAUACGGAGGGUGCAAGCGUUGUUCGGAAUUAUUGGGCGUAAAGCGCGUGUAGGCGGUUCGUUAAGUCUGAUGUGAAAGCCCGGGGCUCAACCCCGGAAGUGCAUUGGAAACUGGCGAACUUGAGUACGGGAGAGGAAAGUGGAAUUCCGAGUGUAGGGGUGAAAUCCGUAGAUAUUCGGAGGAACACCAGUGGCGAAGGCGGCUUACCAAACUAUUAUUGACGCUGAGGUGCGAAAGCGUGGGGAGCAAACAGGAUUAGAUA
rnacentral:rRNA from 1 species